AUUGAACGCUGGCGGUAUGCCUAACACAUGCAAGUCGAACGGGAAUCUUAGGAUUCUAGUGGCGGACGGGUGAGUAACGCGUGAGAAUCUGCCCUCAGGAGGGGGAUAACGGCUGGAAACGGCCGCUAAUACCCCAUAUGCCGCGAGGUGAAAUGAAUUUCGCCUGAGGAUGAGCUCGCGUCUGAUUAGCUAGUUGGGGGGGUAAGGGACCACCAAGGCAACGAUCAGUAGCUGGUCUGAGAGGAUGAGCAGCCACACUGGGACUGAGACACGGCCCAGACUCCUACGGGAGGCAGCAGUGGGGAAUUUUCCGCAAUGGGCGAAAGCCUGACGGAGCAACGCCGCGUGAGGGAUGAAGGCCUCUGGGCUGUAAACCUCUUUUAUCAAGGAAGAAGAUCUGACGGUACUCGAUGAAUAAGCCACGGCUAAUUCCGUGCCCAGCAGCCGCGGUAAUACGGAGGAUGCAAGCGUUAUCCGGAAUGAUUGGGCGUAAAGGGUCCGCAGGUGGCAUUGAAAGUCUGCUGUUAAAGAGUUUGGCUCAACCAGAUAAAAGCAGUGGAAACUACAAAGCUAGAGUGCGUUCGGGGCAGAAGGAAUUCCUGGUGUAGCGGUGAAAUGCGUAGAGAUCAGGAAGAACACCGGUGGCGAAAGCGUUCUGCUAGGCCUGCACUGACACUGAGGGACGAAAGCCAAGGUAGCGAAAGGGAUUAGAUACCCCUGUAGUCUUGGCCGGAAACGAUGGAUACUAGGCGUUGUCUGUAUCGACCCGAGCCGUGCCGAAGCUAACGCGUUAAGUAUCCCGCCUGGGGAGUACGCACGCAAGUGUGAAACUCAAAGGAAUUGACGGGGGCCCGCACAAGCGGUGGAGUAUGUGGUUUAAUUCGAUGCAACGCGAAGAACCUUACCAAGACUUGACAUCCCGCGAAUCUUGCAGAGAUGCCAGAGUGCCUUCGGGAGCGCCGAGACAGGUGGUGCCUGGCUGUCGUCAGCUCGUGUCGUGAGAUGUUGGGUUAAGUCCCGCAACGAGCGCAACCCUCGUUUUUAGUUGCCAGCAUUAAGUUGGGCACUCUAGAGAGACUGCCGGUGACGAACCGGAGGAAGGUGGGGAUGACGUCAAGUCAUCAUGCCCCUUACGUUUUGGGCUACACACGUACUACAAUGGUCGGGACAAAGGGCAGCAACCCCGCGAGACGAGCGAAUCCCAACAAACCUGGCCUCAGUUCAGAUUGCAGGCUGCAACUCGCCUGCAUGAAGGAGGAAUCGCUAGUAAUCGCAGGUCAGAAUACUGCGGUGAAUUCGUUCCCGGGCCUUGUACACACCGCCCGUCACCCCAUGGAAGCUGGCAACGCCCGAAGUCAUUACUCCAACCAUUCGUGGGGGAGGAUGCCUAAGGCAGUGCUGGUGACUGGGGUGAA
rnacentral:rRNA from 1 species